AACUUUUGGCAACGGAUCACUUGGCUCUCGCAACGAUGAAGAACGCAGCGAAAUGCGAUACGUAAUGUGAAUUGCUUUCCGUGAAUCAUCUAAUCUUUGAACGCACAUUGCACUCCUUUUGGAGUACGCCUGUUUGAUAAUCAACAGUAACAAUUACAGUCCUUCUGUGGAGAGAUUGUAGAUAUGAAUUCUCCUGACGUUGAAGGUGCUUUUAAAUGCAUAGCCUGUUGGAUGCCAGCAGAACAGUGUUCGAAUGAAACUGUGGUUUCUUUGACGCUUCGACGUUGUAUCCGAAAGCAGGUUGAAACAAGAGCAAAAUCUGAGGAGCUUGCUCUGAACAAUGGUCUCAAAUCAGGUAGGAAGACCCGCUGAACUUAAGCAUAUCAAUAAGCGGAGGCU
rnacentral:misc_RNA from 1 species